rnacentral:lncRNA from 1 species
ACCUAUAGAUUUAGUACAAUAGUUUUCCAUAUCACUUUUUCAAAAAGGCUAAGACAAGGGUAUAUCUAAGUUUGUUAAGAAUCCAAAUUGACCAUAUGACCAUAUGAUAGCUCUUCGUCAGCCACAAACUCUGUCAUGAAGUAGCAACGGGUAUUUGACAACUCAGUUAGCUUUUCUAUUUAGGGCAAGUGUUUCAAGUUCAUCUUCCCUUGUUCUUCUCCAAGCUGGCUAUCUUCAUAUUCAAUGUUGUCAAUACUAAGUGAUCUUACACGAGCCAGUGUAAAUGACCUAGAAUCUUAACCUGCUCCAUUAUUUGUAAACAAACACCAAAAACUUCUAAUUGCAUGUUAGAUCUUCCAAGUUCUAGAAAAAUUAAGAAAAUGUAAGUUUAUUCAGGACUCUCCAUUAAUAGUAUCAUGUGGAAUGAUGCUUGAGAGAGAGUGAUGACAUUAGACGAUAAAUCAAGCAUUUCUAAUUUCUUCAACCUUGUGAUUAACCAAAAGGAAUCCAUUUAAGUUAUUUUAUUUGUCUUAGAUACAAAAACUCUGGGAGUGAAAUGAUGUUUGUGCCCAAAAUAUUCAAAUAUUGGAGCUUCACAGAUUGCAUAUUUCCUUGUGAAAAUUCUUUGUGGAUGAUAAUGAUGAGAGGUCCAAAAAGGAUAGGUUUAGACGAUAUUGCUAAUUUGAUAAUGAUGAUGAUGAGAAGUUUAACAACAGUGUCUAGUAUUUCUUAAUUUUAAAUAACUAACCAAAAAGUCAUUUCAUGCAAAAUAGGAUGAAACUUUACACAAGAUUACUUUGAAUAUUUGUGAUUAUUGUCAACUUUCUAUAACAGACCAACUAUAAGUAUAUUAGUGAUGAUGAUGUGACCCUGACACAUGCAUGAUUCGUAUCCAAUAAACCUAGUCUAGUCCACCACUAAAAUAAGCAUAUUAAAAAGCAACCUCUCACUCUCUCCUCCAAACAGUCAUAACUACCUUUCAAGCUAUGAAACCUAUCACUAUUACCUGUGUUGGUUACUAACCAAAUAUGAGAGAUGUGGGUAGAGAGAGAUAAAUGAGUCACCGACCAC